CUUUAAAAAUCUGGAUCAAGCUGAAAAUUGAAACGACACACAGACAAUGUGUGUUCGAGUCUCUCAAAUUUUCGCAAUCAGAAGUGAAACAUCUUCGG
rnacentral:sRNA from 1 species